rnacentral:misc_RNA from 1 species
AACGCAUAUUGCGCCCUCUGGUAUUCCGGGGGGCAUGCCUGUCCGAGCGUCAUUGCAACCCUCAAGCACGGCUUGUGUGUUGGGCCAUCGUCCCCCCGUGGACGGGCCCGAAAGGCAGUGGCGGCGUCGUGUUCCGGUGCCCGAGCGUAUGGGGCUUUGUCACCCGCUUGGAGGCCCGGCCGGCGUCAGUCGAUCACCAUCUCAACUGGAGGACCCCCCUCGCGGGACCUCGACCGGUUGACCUCGGAUCAGGUAGGGAUACCCGCUGAACUUAA